GACGAACGCUGGCGGCGUGCUUAACACAUGCAAGUCGAACGGAAAGGCCCUGCUUUUGUGGGGUGCUCGAGUGGCGAACGGCUGAGUAACACGUGAGUAACCUGCCCUUGACUUUGGGAUAACUUCAGGGAACUGGGGCUAAUACCGGAUAGGAGCUCCUGCGGCGUGGUGGGGGUUGGAAAGUUUCGGCGGUUGGGGAUGGACUCGCGGCUUAUGAGCUUGUUGGUGGGGUAGUGGCUUACCAAGGCCUUGACCGGUAGCCGGCCUGAGAGGGUGAACAGCCACAUGGGGCCUGCGAGACGGCGCAGACUCCUACGGGAGGCAGCAGUGGGGAAUAUUGCACAAUGGGCGGACGCCCGAGGCAGCAACGCCGCGUGCGGGAUGACGGCCUUCGGGUUGUAAACCGCUUUCGCCUGUGACGAAGCGUGAGUGACGGUAAUGGGUAAAGAAGCACCGGCUAACUACGUG
rnacentral:rRNA from 1 species